AACGAACGCUGGCGGCAGGCCUAACACAUGCAAGUCGAACGCCCUAGCAAUAGGGAGUGGCGCACGGGUGCGUAACGCGUGGGAAUAUGCCCUUCACUGCGGAAUAACGUUUGGAAACGAACGCUAAUACCGCAUAAUGACUCCGGUCCAAAGAUUUAUCGGUGAAGGAUUAGCCCGCGUUAGAUUAGCUAGUUGGUGAGGUAAGGGCUCACCAAGGCAACGAUCUAUAGCUGGUCUGAGAGGAUGAUCAGCCACACUGGGACUGAGACACGGCCCAGACUCCUACGGGAGGCAGCAGUGAGGAAUAUUGGACAAUGGGCGCAAGCCUGAUCCAGCCAUGCCGCGUGAGUGAAGAAGGCCUUCGGGUUGUAAAGCUCUUUCAGUUGUAAAGAUAAUGACGGUAACAACAGAAGAAGCCCCGGCUAAAUUCGUGCCAGCCGCCGCAGUAA
rnacentral:rRNA from 1 species